GGUGACGUGGCCGAGUGGCUAGGCAAGGGUCUGCAAAACCCUGUACGACGGUUCGAAUCCGUCCGUCACCU
rnacentral:tRNA from 1 species